AAGUCGUAACAAGGUUUCCGUAGGUGAACCUGCGGAAGGAUCAUUAAAGAAUGCCCCGUUUUUUGAAAUGGGUUCUAUUCCCAAACCGUGUCUACACACCUUUGUUGCUUUGGCAGGCCGCCCUCGGGCGUCGGCCCGCGCUGACCGCGCCUGCCAGAGGACCCAAACUCUUUUGUUUAGUGAUGUCUGAGUACUAUAUAAUAGUUAAAA
rnacentral:misc_RNA from 1 species